rnacentral:rRNA from 1 species
UAGGGAAUAUUGGACAAUGGGUGCGAGCCUGAUCCAGCCAUGCCGCGUGCAGGAAGACGGCCUUCUGGGUUGUAAACUGCUUUUGCCAGGGGAUAAAAAAGUCCCUGCGGGGAAAAAUUGAAGGUACCUGGUGAAUAAGCCACGGCUAACUACGUGCCAGCAGCCGCGGUAAUACGUAGGUGGCAAGCGUUGUCCGGAUUUAUUGGGUUUAAAGGGUGCGUAGGUUGUGUUGUAAGUCAGUGGUGAAAUCCGGCAGCUUAACUGUCGAUGUGCCAUUGAUACUGCAGCACUUGAGUACAGACGAGGUAGGCGGAAUUGACGGUGUAGCGGUGAAAUGCUUAGAUAUCGUCAAGAACACCGAUAGCGAAGGCAGCUUACUAGACUGUAACUGACACUGAUGCA